UACGUAGGGUGCGAGCGUUAAUCGGAAUUACUGGGCGUAAAGCGUGCGCAGGCGGUUUUGUAAGCCAGAUGUGAAAUCCCCGGGCUUAACCUGGGAAUGGCAUUUGGGACUGCAAGGCUUGAGUGCGGCAGAGGAGACUGGAAUUCCUGGUGUAGCAGUGAAAUGCGUAGAUAUCAGGAGGAACACCGAUGGCGAAGGCAGGUCUCUGGGCUGACACUGACGCUCAUGCACGAAAGCGUAGGGAGCAAACAGG
rnacentral:rRNA from 1 species